rnacentral:rRNA from 1 species
AGACCCCAUGGAGCUUUAAACCCAACAGCACCCGUUUAUUUUCAUCCUCACAUAAGUUAGGCUAUGCCUGUUUGGUUUUAGGUUGGGGUGACCACGGAGUAUAAAACAACCUCCAUGAAAAAAGGACCAAAAAUCCUUAUUAGAGAAAGACAUUUCUAAAAUUAAUAAAUUAAUUUUUAAUGAUCCGAUAUUCGAUCAACGAACCAAGUUACCCUGGGGAUAACAGCGCAAUCCACUUCAAGAGCUCCUAUCGACAAGUGGGUUUACGACCUCGAUGUUGGAUCAGGGUAUCCUAGUGGUGCAGCAGCUAC